rnacentral:rRNA from 1 species
AUUGAACGCUGGCGGCAGGCUUAACACAUGCAAGUCGAGCGAGCGGCGGACGGGUGAGUCAUGUCGGGGAACCUGCCUGAUGGAGGGGGAAAACCACUGGAAACGGUGGCUAAUACCGCAUACCCUCAGAUGUGCCUAGAUGGGAUUAGCUAGUAGGCGGUGGAAUGGCUCAUCGAGGCAACGAUCCCUAGCGGGUCCGAGAGGAUGACCAGCCACACGGGAACUGAGACACGGUCCAGACUCUUACGGGAGGCAGCAGUGGGGAAUAUUGCACAUGGGGCGCAAGCCUGAUGCAGCCAUGCCGCGUGUUUGAAGAAGGCCUUCGGGGUGUAAAGCACGUGCAGCGAGGAGGCGUUACUCGCAGAAGAAGCACCGGCUAACUCCGUGCCAGCCGCCGCGGUAAUUC